rnacentral:rRNA from 1 species
UUCUCUUGUGUCUGGAAAUCAAGGGUUCCUCCGAAAAUUAAGAUUUUUCUCUGGCAGGCCUUUCGUGGUCGCCUCCCUACUGCUGAUCAGAUUAAAAAACGCAAUGGGCCGGGCUCUGAAUUCUGUAACCUGUGUGGGGCCUUGGAAAAUUCCGACCACAUCUUUUUCAACUGUGUACUUGCCAAAUUAGUUUGGUCUUGCGUCAAAUCUUGGCUUCGGGUUUCUUGGAAUCCCUCCUCUUUUUCUGAUAUUAGAACUCUAGCUAAAACUUUGGUCGGGGUCACCAAGAGGGUAUUUUGGGUUGGCUUGGGAGCCUUAUGCUGGGCCUUAUGGAAUAUUAGAAACAAAUUUACUAUUGAGCUUACCUUCCCAUCUAAACCUGCUGAUGUUCUAUUCAAAUCAUGUAUAUUCUUGCAGUAG